GGGUUGUGAGGUUAAGCGACUAAGCGUACACGGUGGAUGCCCUGGCAGUCAGAGGCGAUGAAGGACGUGCUAAUCUGCGAUAAGCGUCGGUAAGGUGAUAUGAACCGUUAUAACCGGCGAUUUCCGAAUGGGGAAACCCAGUGUGUUUCGACACACUAUCAUUAACUGAAUCCAUAGGUUAAUGAGGCGAACCGGGGGAACUGAAACAUCUAAGUACCCCGAGGAAAAGAAAUCAACCGAGAUUCCCCCAGUAGCGGCGAGCGAACGGGGAGCAGCCCAGAGUCUGAAUCAGUGUGUGUGUUAGUGGAAGUGUCUGGAAAGGCGCGCGAUACAGGGUGACAGCCCCGUACACAAAAAUGCACAUGCUGUGAGCUCGAUGAGUAGGGCGGGACACGUGGUAUCCUGUCUGAAUAUGGGGGGACCAUCCUCCAAGGCUAAAUACUCCUGACUGACCGAUAGUGAACCAGUACCGUGAGGGAAAGGCGAAAAGAACCCCGGCGAGGGGAGUGAAAAAGAACCUGAAACCGUGUACGUACAAGCAGUGGGAGCCCUGAUUUAUCAGGGUGACUGCGUACCUUUUGUAUAAUGGGUCAGCGACUUAUAUUCUGUAGCAAGGUUAACCGAAUAGGGGAGCCGGAGGGAAACCGAGUCUUAACUGGGCGUUAAGUUGCAGGGUAUAGACCCGAAACCCGGUGAUCUAGCCAUGGGCAGGUUGAAGGUUGGGUAACACUAACUGGAGGACCGAACCGACUAAUGUUGAAAAAUUAGCGGAUGACUUGUGGCUGGGGGUGAAAGGCCAAUCAAACCGGGAGAUAGCUGGUUCUCCCCGAAAGCUAUUUAGGUAGCGCCUCGUGAAUUCAUCUCCGGGGGUAGAGCACUGUUUCGGCAAGGGGGUCAUCCCGACUUACCAACCCGAUGCAAACUGCGAAUACCGGAGAAUGUUAUCACGGGAGACACACGGCGGGUGCUAACGUCCGUCGUGAAGAGGGAAACAACCCAGACCGCCAGCUAAGGUCCCAAAGUCAUGGUUAAGUGGGAAACGAUGUGGGAAGGCCCAGACAGCCAGGAUGUUGGCUUAGAAGCAGCCAUCAUUUAAAGAAAGCGUAAUAGCUCACUGGUCGAGUCGGCCUGCGCGGAAGAUGUAACGGGGCUAAACCAUGCACCGAAGCUGCGGCAGCGACACUGUGUGUUGUUGGGUAGGGGAGCGUUCUGUAAGCCUGUGAAGGUGUGCUGUGAGGCAUGCUGGAGGUAUCAGAAGUGCGAAUGCUGACAUAAGUAACGAUAAAGCGGGUGAAAAGCCCGCUCGCCGGAAGACCAAGGGUUCCUGUCCAACGUUAAUCGGGGCAGGGUGAGUCGACCCCUAAGGCGAGGCCGAAAGGCGUAGUCGAUGGGAAACAGGUUAAUAUUCCUGUACUUGGUGUUACUGCGAAGGGGGGACGGAGAAGGCUAUGUUGGCCGGGCGACGGUUGUCCCGGUUUAAGCGUGUAGGCUGGUUUUCCAGGCAAAUCCGGAGAAUCAAGGCUGAGGCGUGAUGACGAGGCACUACGGUGCUGAAGCAACAAAUGCCCUGCUUCCAGGAAAAGCCUCUAAGCAUCAGGUAACAUCAAAUCGUACCCCAAACCGACACAGGUGGUCAGGUAGAGAAUACCAAGGCGCUUGAGAGAACUCGGGUGAAGGAACUAGGCAAAAUGGUGCCGUAACUUCGGGAGAAGGCACGCUGAUAUGUAGGUGAAGCGACUUGCUCGUGGAGCUGAAAUCAGUCGAAGAUACCAGCUGGCUGCAACUGUUUAUUAAAAACACAGCACUGUGCAAACACGAAAGUGGACGUAUACGGUGUGACGCCUGCCCGGUGCCGGAAGGUUAAUUGAUGGGGUCAGCGCAAGCGAAGCUCUUGAUCGAAGCCCCGGUAAACGGCGGCCGUAACUAUAACGGUCCUAAGGUAGCGAAAUUCCUUGUCGGGUAAGUUCCGACCUGCACGAAUGGCGUAAUGAUGGCCAGGCUGUCUCCACCCGAGACUCAGUGAAAUUGAACUCGCUGUGAAGAUGCAGUGUACCCGCGGCAAGACGGAAAGACCCCGUGAACCUUUACUAUAGCUUGACACUGAACACUGGUCCUUGAUGUGUAGGAUAGGUGGGAGGCUUUGAAGUGUGGACGCCAGUCUGCAUGGAGCCGUCCUUGAAAUACCACCCUUUAAUGGCUGGUGUUCUAACGUUGGCCCCUUACCGGGGUUGCGGACAGUGUCUGGUGGGUAGUUUGACUGGGGCGGUCUCCUCCUAAAGAGUAACGGAGGAGCACGAAGGUUGGCUAAUCCUGGUCGGACAUCAGGAGGUUAGUGCAAUGGCAUAAGCCAGCUUGACUGCGAGCGUGACGGCGCGAGCAGGUGCGAAAGCAGGUCAUAGUGAUCCGGUGGUUCUGAAUGGAAGGGCCAUCGCUCAACGGAUAAAAGGUACUCCGGGGAUAACAGGCUGAUACCGCCCAAGAGUUCAUAUCGACGGCGGUGUUUGGCACCUCGAUGUCGGCUCAUCACAUCCUGGGGCUGAAGUAGGUCCCAAGGGUAUGGCUGUUCGCCAUUUAAAGUGGUACGCGAGCUGGGUUUAGAACGUCGUGAGACAGUUCGGUCCCUAUCUGCCGUGGGCGCUGGAGAACUGAGGGGGGCUGCUCCUAGUACGAGAGGACCGGAGUGGACGCAUCACUGGUGUUCGGGUUGUCAUGCCAAUGGCACUGCCCGGUAGCUAAAUGCGGAAGAGAUAAGUGCUGAAAGCAUCUAAGCACGAAACUUGCCCCGAGAUGAGUUCUCCCUGAGACUUAGAGUCUCCUGAAGGAACGUUGAAGACGACGACGUUGAUAGGCCGGGUGUGUAAGCGCAGCGAUGCGUUGAGCUAACCGGUACUAAUGAACCGUGAGGCUUAACCUUACAACGCCGAAG
rnacentral:rRNA from 1 species